rnacentral:lncRNA from 1 species
UUUUUUUACAGGUACCUGUUUCACAUGUCCGUGUCAGGGUACUCACAUGGUGGGCCUUGCUGCAAUUUUUUUUUAUUUUUUUUUACAUGUGGGGCUCGUUGCUACUGUGAGCUAUGUGGCAAGCCCCUGUGAACUAAUUGUCUAUACACUGGGAUUAAUUGUUUAAGCAAUACUUUUGGCAGCAUAUGACAAAGGUCACUGAUUG